rnacentral:rRNA from 1 species
GGCGGACGGGUGAGUAACACGUUGAUACCUGCCCUAAAGUGGGGAAUAACUGGCCGAAAGGUCAGCUAAUACCGCAUGUGAUCCUUCGGGAUUAAGACUUCGGUCGCUUUAGGAGGGGUCUGCGUCUGAUUAGCUAGUUGGUAGGGUAAAGGCCUACCAAGGCGACGAUCAGUAGCUGGUUCGAGAGGAUGACCAGCCACACUGGGACUGAGAUACGGCCCAGACUCCUACGGGAGGCAGCAGUAAGGAAUCUUCCACAAUGGACGAAAGUCUGAUGGAGCAAUGCCGCGUGCAGGAUGACGGCCUUCGGGUUGUAAAACUGCUUUUAUAUGGGAAGAUUAUGACGGUACCAUAUGAAUAAGGACCGGCUAACUACGUGCCAGCCGCCGCGG